rnacentral:tRNA from 1 species
GGAUGUAUAGCUCAGUUGGUUAGAGCGCAGCACUGAUAAUGCUGAGGUCCCUGGUUCAAAUCCAGGUACAUCCACCA